rnacentral:rRNA from 1 species
CCCUUAGAUGUUCUGGGCUGCACGCGCGCUACACUGAUGCGUUCAACGAGUGUACAUCCUUGCCCGGUAGGGUUGGGUAAUCUUCUGAACACGCAUCGUGAUGGGGAUAGAUUAUUGCAAUUAUUAAUCUUCAACGAGGAAUUCCUAGUAAUGGUGAAUCAUCAGUUCAUCGUGAUUACGUCCCUGCCCUUUGUACACACCGCCCGUCGCUCCUACCGAUCGAAGAGUUAGGUGAAUUGUUUUGAUCGAUAAGAUUUGACUAUGGUCAACUCUCGUUGUGAAAUUCUGUGAAUCUGACUGUUUAGAGGAAGGAAAAGUCGUAACA